AGUGAACGCUGGCGGUAGGCCUAACACAUGCAAGUCGAACGGCAGCACAGUAAGAGCUUGCUCUUACGGGUGGCGAGUGGCGGACGGGUGAGGAAUACAUCGGAAUCUACUUUUUCGUGGGGGAUAACGUAGGGAAACUUACGCUAAUACCGCAUACGACCUACGGGUGAAAGCAGGGGAUCUUCGGACCUUGCGCGAUUGAAUGAGCCGAUGUCGGAUUAGCUAGUUGGCGGGGUAAAGGCCCACCAAGGCGACGAUCCGUAGCUGGUCUGAGAGGAUGAUCAGCCACACUGGAACUGAGACACGGUCCAGACUCCUACGGGAGGUAGCAGUGGGGAAUAUUGGACAAAGGGCGCAAGCCUGAUCCAGCCAUACCGCGUGGGUGAAGAAGGCCUUCGGGUUGUAAAGCCCUUUUGUUGGGAAAGAAAAGCAGCAGGUUAAUACCCCGCUGUUCUGACGGUACCCAAAGAAUAAGCACCGGCUAACUUCGUG
rnacentral:rRNA from 1 species